rnacentral:tRNA from 1 species
GCCCGAGUGGCGCAAUUGGCUGACGCGAUGCACUCAAAAUGCAUUGUCCUCCGGGACAUGUGGGUUCGAAUCCCACCUCGGGCA